rfam:Aedes albopictus isolate Foshan contig131252, whole genome shotgun sequence.
UGCCCAGCAACUCCUAUCCCUACCUCCUCGUGAUACCGACCGGAAACUACGAGCUACCUUAGGAAAGAUCGGGUAACCAGCCCCGGUAGGAACUUUGGUCGUAGGCUGACAGCGAAAGGGGGGGG